GUAGAAAAGAGCCACAUACUACGUGUUUUGAUUUGAAUAUCAUUGUCUGCCACCUACUCACCGCCUCUUUCUCUUCCCCACCGCCUCCGGUAUCUUUCACUAUCUUUGUCGAUUUCUUUUUUUGCCUCCUCUCAAACGACGAACAGCUCCUUCCUUCUUCCUCCUUCCACACAGUACAUGACGAAGGUACUUCUCCGUCCACUGUCAAUCUUCUACCUGAAACCAGAAGAAAAAUCACCGACAAGGUUACUGUAAGGAUCUGAAGGUUCAAGAACUUCACGUGCUUGCUAUCUUCUACAGCUUCAAAGCCUCAAUCGACUUUCUUUUCAGAUGCGUUAUCUUCCUCUGAUGGUUCCCACCGUUAACCGGUUCUUCCAAUCAGUUUCCAUCCUCCGUCUCUCAGUCCUCUUUCUAUCUAACCCUACAAGCCAUCGUCAACGAACAACCAUCCUCAACAUUGUUACUGGCUAUGGCGCUACUUGAGGCAAUCGGCGGCGGAGCUAAUCCGGCAGACCGCUGGUGAAAUAUUAAUUCGGCUUUUUAUGGGAAACAACCAUCAGUUCUUAAUUUCUUCCACCAACAGAAAUUGAAUGGGUGUAAAAAGUUGAAAUUGUGCCCAAACAUUACCUGUGCGCUUCUUCUACAGUUAUGCAAAUUUGCGACUUCAGGUAAACAACAAUAGACAUGUCCUCGCAUUCCUGUUUUUCGUUGUUAGGCACAAUUUUUUUCGUUUUUGUAAUGUACAUGUCGUCGGAGAUGAUGAAGUGCAAAGUCUUCUGGUGACUUCCAUUCCUGUUCGCUCCAACUACCACAUCCUAUGAACUUAUCUGGGUCUCAUCUAUGCCUGUCUACACCAUCGCUACACAAAGAUUGAAGACUGCUAAAACCCACUGCCAAUUCUGGUCUGCCAGGUGCUCGAUAUAAUGUCGAGGAUUAGGUCCUUUUCGGCAUGCAACAAAAACUUGACAAAUUAUGUCAACAGGUGAAUUACUUGAAGGACCAGCCUAAAUGAUUCUACACAUGCCUUUCAGCAGGUAAUGUGUGAACUAUCUCAUAAACAACAAUUUUAUCCGGUACAACUCCAAAAACGAAUGGGUUCUCAAUUUAGAUGUGGGUAAAGACGGUAAAUGUUUUGCACAUGUAAGGUUUAACCAGUCAAAUUAGGUCCUGGGUCAACCGGAAGACUGUCAGUUGACUGCUCAUCGGUUCGACCUUAGGUUCCAACUUUUUAUGUUCAGGUAACUAGUCAUGACUCCACCCUUUUAGGUAGAUGUAGAAGAACAUAUGCGCAUGCUCAUGACUAUCAUAUUAAUUCCAUUUCUAAUAAUAGUAAUGGUGAAACAUUGAUCUCAGCUGAUGAUUUACGCAUAAACCUUUGGAACUUUGAAAUCAACAGUUAGAGUUUUAAUAUUGUAGACAUGAAGCCUGCAAACAUGGACGACUUAACUGGUGUACGAAGGCUUUGCCGUAUGUCUGCUAUAAUAGAAAAAAUUGGGAAGUGUCAUAUGCUUGCUAUAACAGAAAAAAAAUUAGGAAUUCAUAAGUAUAUGAAGUGCUACAUACAUAAAGCAUAAAUUUCUUGAGUUGAUUAACCAUCCUGGUCACAAUUCUUUUACAAAUGAAUAGAAAGAAAUAGAGAGGUGGAAUAAGGGAAACAUAAUUUGUUAUGGCUUUUGUUGGCUGGAAAUAGACUGAAAAGGAGCUGCAACCAAUCAAGCAUCUUUCUCUGUUUAGUGUCGUGCCGACUCUAAAUAGAGGACUUCUUUCACAAGGGGGAGUAUUGAGGCGAUGAUGAGUUUUAUUUUUGAAAAGAUUUUGUGUUAUCGAGUAUCGGGUGAAAUUGAGGUUUGUAUUUUGGCGGGGCAACUCGGAAGGCAUUGCGGUCGGAUAUUGCAACCGGUGUUUGCAGCCAUCCCGGUGUUUCACCCCUUUUUCCUGAGCCUCCUCCGGUUGAAAUUCAGGGUCGUCUUUUUGAUUUAGUGUUAGUUUUUGUUUUUAUGAUGGUUGGAGUGAGGGUUAUUUGUUGUGAUGUUCUUUUUACCCCAAUCGAUAGAAACUUGGUGGCCACUCCAUCCAUCUUCUUCCUAACGGUCGUUGAUGAAGUUAAGCAUUUCUUCAACACCGCCAUCACCACCAUCUUUAUGAAGCUUCUGCUAUCGGUAGGCUUAUUUUUUUUCAUCUCACUGCAACUUUAGUUGUCACCUGUUUUCAAAGUUGUCGAUUGUAAAACCUCGAUGGAUGAGGACCAUGAGUGAUUUGUGCACCAACUAAGGGGUUAUUAGAAGCAGAUGGAAUGUAAAACUUAAGACUGGCAUUGUUUCCUUUUCCCUAACAUUUCAUUAGGGUGGUUCUAUUAGUCUACAAAUAAAAAAAAAUCACAGAUUGUUGGGUUCCUCACCACCAUGAGAAGUUGAGAAAAAAACUUCAACCGACAAAUGGUUGCAACAUUCGCUAAGAUUUCCAAAUCAGAGGUAAUCCCCUGUUAUUUUGAACUCAUUACUUUGUUUCUUUAAUAACCUUUUCUUGCAAUUCUCUUCAAACAUAAGUUGGUGGUUCGUUUCUUGAAAUGGGAGAUUUGAAGACGAUUGAUUCAUGUUUAUAGCAAUUUGAAGUCAAACAGUUAUGUUUCUUUUUUAAUCUCAGGUUAUCAUUUUAGUUUUUGGAUAUCUCACAUUCCACUAAUUUUGAAUUGGUUUGAUUUUUUACUUCUUCGUAUCUGAACUUCUAUUUUUUGUUUUGUGUUGUCUGUUUCUUCUGAUCUUCAUUUCAAAUUGUAUAUAAUGAAUUAGGUAGUGCGCCUAUCUUCUUGAGUUUAAGUAGUAAAAAAUAAGAAUGGCAGAAAGAAAGCUGUUGAACAAAUACUACCCCCGUAUUUUGAUCCGGUUAAAAAAAAGAAUGAGAGAAGUUGAAUUUAUAAGAAUUAUGAUCUGCCACUGUGUUUAGUUGACAUUUAAUUUAGAUGAAGGUCAAUAAUGAAAAUUGAAUAACUUCACCCUUUGUAUUUUAUAAUUAAAUUUCUUUUUAUUAACGGUAUAUAUAUAAUUACAACUUUUAUUUAUAUUUCUUUCCUGACAUGUGAAUGACAUGUGAAAGCAGACAAAUAUUCAGUGAUAGUUUUAUGAGUUCCCCAAAUACACCAACCAACGUAUGAGCAAGAAGAAAGUAUCAACUGCUUUAUUUGUCAUACUUUCUUUACAUGCCAUUCUACAGCAACAUAUUCCUAAGACUAGAUAAAAGCUCAUUGCCCAUAAAAAAAAAACCCAAGCUGUAUUCAGAUGGUUUUCUUCAUAACUACUUUUCCAAUUUUACCCUUAUUGUUACAAUUCUAGGUGAGGAGGAUAACAAGUUCUAAUUGCCCAUUUUAUUUUAACAAUGGUUUAACACCUAUGAAGUUGGAGUUUGGGAUUCCA